UGUAUGGUUAAGUGACUAAGCGUACACGGUGGAUGCCUGGGCAGUCAGAGGCGAUGAAGGACGUACUAACUUGCGAUAAGCGCAGAUAAGGCAGUAAGAGCCGUUUGAGUCUGCGAUUUCCGAAUGGGGAAACCCAACUGCAUAAGCAGUUACUGUUAACUGAAUACAUAGGUUAACAGAGCAAACCGGGGGAACUGAAACAUCUAAGUACCCCGAGGAGAAGAAAUCAACCGAGAUUCCGGUAGUAGCGGCGAGCGAACCUGGAUUAGCCCUUAAGCACUCGGUGAAGUAGGUGAACAAGCUGGAAAGCUUGGCGAUACAGGGUGAUAGCCCCGUAACCGACGCUUCAUCGAGCGUGAAAUCGAGUAGGGCGGGACACGUGAUAUCCUGUCUGAAUAUGGGGGGACCAUCCUCCAAGGCUAAAUACUCCUGACUGACCGAUAGUGAACCAGUACCGUGAGGGAAAGGCGAAAAGAACCCCUGUGAGGGGAGUGAAAUAGAACCUGAAACCGUGUACGUACAAGCAGUAGGAGCACCUUCGUGGUGUGACUGCGUACCUUUUGUAUAAUGGGUCAGCGACUUAUAUUCAGUGGCAAGGUUAACCGUAUAGGGGAGCCGUAGCGAAAGCGAGUCUUAACUGGGCGCUCAGUCUCUGGAUAUAGACCCGAAACCGGGUGAUCUAGCCAUGGGCAGGUUGAAGGUUGAGUAACAUCAACUGGAGGACCGAACCGACUAAUGUUGAAAAAUUAGCGGAUGACUUGUGGCUAGGGGUGAAAGGCCAAUCAAACUCGGAGAUAGCUGGUUCUCCCCGAAAGCUAUUUAGGUAGCGCCUCGGACGAAUACUACUGGGGGUAGAGCACUGUUAAGGCUAGGGGGUCAUCCCGACUUACCAACCCUUUGCAAACUCCGAAUACCAGUAAGUACUAUCCGGGAGACACACGGCGGGUGCUAACGUCCGUCGUGGAGAGGGAAACAACCCAGACCGCCAGCUAAGGUCCCAAAGUAUUGCUAAGUGGGAAACGAUGUGGGAAGGCUCAGACAGCUAGGAUGUUGGCUUAGAAGCAGCCAUCAUUUAAAGAAAGCGUAAUAGCUCACUAGUCGAGUCGGCCUGCGCGGAAGAUGUAACGGGGCUAAGCAAUACACCGAAGCUGCGGCAAUGUCUUUUAGA
rnacentral:rRNA from 2 species